rnacentral:rRNA from 1 species
AGAGUUUGAUCCUGGCUCGAGGACGAACGCUGGCGGCGUGCUUAACACAUGCAAGUCGAACGGGGAUAUUGGAAUUGAGAGCUUCGGCAGGAUUUUCUAAUAUUCUAGUGGCGGACGGGUGAGUAACGCGUGAACAAUCUGUCCCAGACAGGGGGAUAACACUUGGAAACAGGUGCUAAUACCGCAUAAGACCACGGGAUCGCAUGGUUCUGGGGUAAAACGGGCAACCGGGUUUGGGGUGAGUUCGCGUCCGAUUAGAUAGUUGGUGAGGUAACGGCCCACCAAGUCGACGAUCGGUAGCCGACCUGAGAGGGUGAUCGGCCACAUUGGAACUGAGAGACGGUCCAAACUCC